CCCCCCGAGACGGUGCCGGGCGAUAAGGGGCAGCGAUUAGCGGGUGAACCGGGAGGCUCUGGUCAGACCUCGCCGGGGCGCUGCCCUCAGUCCGUGGGGAAGGAGGGAAUGUAAACGUGCGAUGUGCCCGCGCCUGGACUAGGGUGUUUGAGUUCUCCCGUGCCCCAGCCUUCCCGCCAACGCCACGUGAAAGGCGAGCGCCAGCCAGGAGGAGUUAAAGUCUCUUCAGCAGAUGCAUUCAUCCCUGAGAGCCCUCCAUCAAAUGGUUGCCUCCUGUAAUGAGACGAUAAAUUCUCUUGUCCAGAACAACAACACACUAACAGACAUGAAUAAAGGCUGGCAGAUUUUCUUCACUGGACAGAGAGGAGAUUUAAAGUAACUUGUUUCAUAUUCCUUAUGCUAUUUUGAAUUUUUUUUUUAAAAAGCACAAGUUGGAAAUCAAAUUAAUUAUCUUGAAGUGGAAUCUUGCCGUCACAGAAUUGUUAGUCACUGAUUCAACUGCAUUGAACAUAUUUACAACUGCAGGCCUGGUGAUCAGCUAUGGACAACAGGUUGCUUGGAGCUGAAAACAUCCCAUCAACUUUAGAGAAGAUAGUUGUGAUUUUGACAUUGGACUUGAAGUGGCUUAACAAUGAACACCUUAAAGUAGUGGACUCACAGCAGCCUCAUUUUUGCUAUUUCUGAAAGUGUCUUAUUAGGUGCUUCAUUUUCUGACUCCAAUCUUGAGAGCUACUGGUUACAUUUUGUUUACAUAAAUGACCUGUUAAAAAUACUCUGGCUGUCAAGGUACUCACUUCUUCAAAUUGAAAUUUGCAAUGGAGUUUUUACACAGCACUGGGAAUGCUUGAUAGCUAUGGAGAUUACUGACCCUAGCAGUUGUCUUCAGCAUGUUGUCUUCUGUCCUUAGGCUAUUCUCUUUGAUGGUAAUGUGCUACGAAGGAAUAUUUGCUUAUCAGGUGUGCAGUGGUGAUUGUAUCUAUAUACAAUAACAUGCAACACCAACCCCAUUCUUCCAACUUGUAAAGUCAUGAAAAGUAAUUCAUAUUCAGCCAUGCAUAAAUUGCAUGAAAGUUGGCCAGUUUGGUCGAGGGAUAGAUAUAUUAGCUAAACUUGUUCUAAGCAUCACAGCUGUAAGAUGGGUAGGAAAACCAAAGAUGAUACUACAUUUCCUGAAGAAUCAGAUAAACUGUCUUUAUAUGUUUUAAGUAUGUAAAACUUUGAUCAAUUUAAAACAUUGCCUUUAAUAUCUCA